rnacentral:rRNA from 1 species
GUUGAUAGGCCGGGAGUGUAAGGCGGGCAAUCGUCUUAGCGGACCGGUACUAAUAGGUCGAGGACUUGACUAC